GACGAACGCUGGCGGCGUGCCUAAUACAUGCAAGUAGAACGCUGAAGGAAGGAGCUUGCUCUUUCCGGAUGAGUUGCGAACGGGUGAGUAACGCGUAGGUAACCUGCCUGGUAGCGGGGGAUAACUAUUGGAAACGAUAGCUAAUACCGCAUAACAGUAGAUAUCGCAUGAUAGCUGCUUGAAAGGUGCAAUUGCACCACUACCAGAUGGACCUGCGUUGUAUUAGCUAGUUGGUGAGGUAACGGCUCACCAAGGCAACGAUACAUAGCCGACCUGAGAGGGUGAUCGGCCACACUGGGACUGAGACACGGCCCAGACUCCUACGGGAGGCAGCAGUAGGGAAUCUUCGGCAAUGGACGGAAGUCUGACCGAGCAACGCCGCGUGAGUGAAGAAGGUUUUCGGAUCGUAAAGCUCUGUUGUAAGAGAAGAACGAGUGUGAGAGUGGAAAGUUCACACUGUGACGGUAUCU
rnacentral:rRNA from 1 species